AUACGUAGGGGGCGAGCGUUGUCCGGAAUGACUGGGCGUAAAGGGCGUGUAGGCGGCGGUGUAAGUCUGGAGUGAAAGUCCCGCAUUCAAUGUGGGAAUUGCUUUGGAUACUGCAGUGCUAGAGUGUGGAAGAGGUAAGUGGAAUUCCCAGUGUAGCGGUGAAAUGCGUAGAGAUUGGGAGGAACACCGGUGGCGAAGGCGACUUACUGGGCCGUAACUGACGCUAAGGCGCGAAAGCGUGGGGAGCGAACAGGAUUAGAUACCCUGGUAGUCCACGCGGUAAACGAUGAAUGCUAGGUGUUGCGGGUAUCGACCCCUGCAGUGCCGGAGUAAACACAAUAAGCAUUCCGCCUGGGGAGUACGGCCGCAAGGUUGAAACUCAAAUGAAUUGACGGGG
rnacentral:rRNA from 1 species